GGUUGCCUAAGUGGUUCUAGCGUCUACCUUGGAUGCGGAAGGUCGCGGGUUCGAAUCCCGGUCAAGUCA